ensembl:lncRNA
ACAGACUUGGAUAAAAAUGUUCACAGUCCCACAAGUUUUAAUGUCUAGCUGAGUGGGCGGAGCUACGCAGUGUACAUGGCCCAAACUGAGCACUGGCAGAGCUGUAGAUGGCUCAGAAAAGGGCGGAGCUUAUUGACUCACAGGCUGGUAUAGUUUAUUGAGCUUCACAGCUGCUUCACCGGCUGAAGACUAAAUAGCUCAGUGGCUAUUAAUGCUCUUUAGACAAGCUCAAGUAUUGCCUGUUUUUUUCGUUCGUCUCGGAUCUUUUAGUUCCUUUUUGCCACUCUUGGUCAGCUGGACUAAAACUUUUGUGCAGUGCGAGUUGCGCAGAUGUGAGUUUCUCUCAGGACGCCACACAGGAAGCUGACUGUGUUUAACAGUGCUGUAACAUCAUGGCUCGAGCCGCUAUUCCCAUGGACAUCAUUGAGGAGGAUACAAGAAAACAUGGACGUCUGACUGAUGAGGAUGACAGUCACCCGUUGAUUAAAUACUACAAAGCCACCACGCUGAUUCCUGACAAACCGCCACCUCUGCAUCGACUGCUGGACAGACAGCCAGCAGCGUGGGCCUCUGUGCAGGUCACCAGUGGGAUCCUGAGUUUCGGUCUCGGUGUGGUGUUCGCUGUGGCGUUUGGAAUAGACAAAUUUCUCCUCACCCUCUUUAGGGUUCCUCUCCUGACUGGAAUAAUGUUUUUGGUUGCUGGAUUUUUGUCCAACCUGCUGCAUAAACACCCUGGACUGCUACAGGUCUGCUUUUACUCCAACAUACUGUGCCUGGCCGUGGCCACCACUGGAGCCAUACUGCUGUGCGUCGAUUUAGCCAAACAUCAGCCAGACAAACUGCACUUCCAGGUAAAUGAGACGUGAAGCUGAUGAUUCACCAGCAUUGACUCAGGAGUGUUUGAAUCUAUUAUAAUGGAUUUUAACUCUGUUCUCAUUUUUGGGCCUCAGGAUAUUUUUACUGGACAGUAGCCUCUUAAAAUCCCUCUAUAAACCCAGUCCUGGUGUAGUUUAUGUUCAGGCGUGUAAACCUCAGACCUCGAUUACAAGCCUUUAUGAAAAGAUUCAGGUGAAUUGUCAGUAGACCUUACUUUGGCCAAAUGCUGAGCACAUACUUCACUGAACAUUAUUACAAUCCAUUACAAGCAGAUCUAGCAAAACAAGCAGAUCCCAGCAGAAACUGUUGCAGUGGAUUCAUCAUCUUUAGGUUAAUAUUAGAAUCUACAACAUUUAAUGAAGUACAAGUAAUUUAACCGCAUAUCUCCACUUUUGCUGUUUUUCAGUUUUUGACAUAAUUUGAAAAUGCCUGCUGUCCUAUAUAUUGUUUGUAAAUUUCAUGAUGUAUGGACUAAAAGAAUCGGUUCAAAAUUACUUGGAAAAACAUCUGGUUCCACAGACUUAAAUGAAAAGUAAAGUAGGUUUUUAUUUCUCCUGUAAAGUUGCUAUUUUGGAGAUUUUACAGAUUUUGUUCUAACAGCAGUAAUAUAGCAUUAGAAGCCAGCAACCAGAAGGUUGUGCGUUCAAAUCCCAGGGCUGACUGUGGACACCUGGCUGUGCGCUUGGGCGAGGCACUUAGCUGCCCUUGGUGGCACUGCCUCCAGACUGGGCAGCAAAGUGGUC